ACUGGACAAUUUCUGUUUUCAACCAAAUUACUCUUUUAAGAACUUUCCACCUUCAUUUGUGAUUGUUGGAAUGUUUUAAGUUUGAUUUCAUGGUUUAAUACAAGAUCUCUUUGAAAUUUUGAAUUUUCAUUUCAAAUCUUGGUCUCCGAAAGUUAAACCUCUCUUGAUACAAUUACUUGGUCAUAUAAUUCUCUUGGUUAAUAGUACUUCUCUUCGUACUUAAAUUAGGGACUUUAAACCCUAUUCUUAUGGCCUUGAUAAUUAUAUUAGAGUUGGCAAUCAUACAAGUAUUUUAAAAAAAUGAUUUGAAAGGUUUCUUGUGAACUUAAUUAGUAAUGCCCGGAAUACUUUGGCCAAGCUUCCCAGUAAAUAUAUCCAUCUUCCUCGAUUUUCAUGCCAAAACUUAGAGAUCUGUUUAAUCUUCAACGUCGAGAAUCUUGGACAUGACUUGACUUGGAUUAAUGUAUUCUUGGGUAUUUUCAAAUGCUACCCACGUGGAUUAAGUUAUCAUUCGAUUUGAACGCGUUAUCUCCUAAGUGAGAGUAGCGGGAAUACUUCUAGACCUUGGCUAAAAACCUAGGUGAAUUGUAAUUCUACAUGUCUCAGGUGAUCAAGAGGAUCCCGAGAAACUCAUUUGAUCUUACCUCGCUCUUGUUUUACACUCUUUAUUUCGGUGAGUGUUCCUUAUGUGUUUAAGUGUUAAGUGCUACUUAUAAUUGUUUCUAUGAAAUUUUUCACCGUUGUAAGGCGAGUGUGUACUUUAUCUCACUCGACCUACGAAAAUGAUAAAUUUCUACUGUUUAAUCGUGAAUUUCUACCGUUUAUCGAUUUACUUGAUUACUUGCGCAUGUUGUAAGUUCUAAGCUGAAUUGGGCCCUGCCCUUGGUUACUAACCUUCUCGAGCCAGAAUUGGGCUCGGUCAAGUAGGUUGGAACCCUGGGCCACCGUUUAGGUAUGCUCAAGUGUCACGGCCCCACCUCCCCCUAAGGCGAAUCAGAGGGUUCGGCGGGCCGCCUGCCCAGCUCUCGCCGGGACUCAGUCGUUCACUACAAUCCUCAAUGGAAUUUCAAGAUAUUUAUAUCAAAUAUACAUCAAAGGUUCCCAAAACUUUACAUAUCAAAAGCGAAGCGUCCACGCUUCCACUGCGCCACUCUGAUCCUUGAUACCAACUAUUAUACAGGAGGAAGUCCAAAACUAGACUAUUACACAUCCAAGCAAUUCUAAACGUUCAAUACAAUCCCAAUAUGAAUGAUUACACAAAAGGAAAUCCAAAUUCAGUCCAUACGUGAGAUAAUCCAUGAAUAAACACUACAAGCCACUCCUUCGCCUUGAGCCCUGUGGAGGGGAAUAAAAUAUUUUGGGGUGAGCUAGAAGCUCAGCGAGUAACCAGUAAAAUCAGUAAUCAAAUCUGUUUAACAAUAGUUCAUUUCAAUGAUGUCAUUUCAAUAUGGAGUAUCAAUAAUUCACGAAACAUUUACAAUGGAAAGCGAUAGUAACAUUCAUGAAAAGGAUACGUUCGUUCUCCUGUCAUUUCAUUUCAUUUGGUUUCAUUCGUGCAUUCAUUCACCCCGUCCCUGGCUUUUGGCCAGGCUCCACCAACCUACAAGGUAAUACUCGAGUAUACCGAAACGUUUCACCCAAGUUCCUAGUCCCCCGACCGAGUCCGUUUCUGGCUCGAGACGACCGGUAACAAGGGGCAAUGGCCAGUUCAGCCAAAAGGCUUAACAUUCAUGCGCAAGUAGCAUUCAAUCAUUAAUCAUUGAAAAUUUCAUAUUUAUUUAGGUCGAGUGCGAUAAAGUACACACUCGCCUAGAAAACUCGUUUUAACAAUCAUUGAAAGCAAAAUCAAUAAUAACAAGACACUGAUAUGCAAGCACGCAUGAUAUGUAAGAAAACAGUUUCCAAAAGUAACUUUGAAAACAGUUCAAAAGUAAAUAAUGCAAGAAACGGUUCAUAAAUAAUUUUAGAAAUAGUUUGAGGUCACUCACCUCCAUGGCUCAGAAAUCAUCCAUUAAAUAUCAUUGCCUUGCUCAAUCCAAGUCUUAAAUCACAAACUCAAUGCAAACAAGUUUCCUUCAAAGUUUUGACAGCACUUCCCUGAAUUUGCUUACUUUUCCAGCCAUCAUGGCUUCAUUAUAUCCUCAGCCAGUCCCAAAGGUACACACACAACAACAAGUUCAUCCAAAGCCAUUCAGCAAGCUCCAAGUAGUACUAGUACAAGUCAAGCUAGGGAAAAGUCCGGAAAUGAAAGUUAAGUUCAAAACCAGAAAAACAGUUUUGACGUCAUUUUGCGGUAAUGGUACCAAAGGCGCUACGAUGGUCGGAUGAAGGUACAAGACCCACCAUUUCGAAGCUAAGAACCAGGGCUACAACAAUGUAGAAGGUCACUCAGUCCAAAUCCCAGCACAAGUAAGUCAUAUAUGCCAAAUACCAAACCAGAACCGUAAUUGCAGGUUUACAAAUUACACUAUGCUGUAAUCAGUACAACUUAGUCUAAACAGGUCCAAAUGCAGAAAUUCCAAAGGCAUAUGGUAUCUAGGACAUCAAGCUACAUUUCAUCAGAAGACCUCAACACCCAAAUCCAAAAAAAUUCCAGUCAAAACAGACGAUUACAAGCGCAGUUCGCACAUUCUGAUCACCCAGAACAGCAACAGUAAAAUUGACAUAUCUCAUUCUACACUACUCCAAUUGCCCUGAAAUUUUACAGGAAUCUCAAACACAUCAAUACCUACAACUUUAAUGUUUUAAGCAAAGGCCAAUUCGGCCUCUAACCAUAUGAUCCAAAACCGGACAGAAAAGGGGGUUAUGAAACCCUAACUUUUCUCAUUUCAAUCCAAACCCAAAAUUGAUUGCAAUUUCCUAUCAUAUACAUCCACUAGAGUCAUAACCCCUCAUUACCAACCAUCAUAAAUAACCACAACACCAUAAUCACAUUAAACCAGAAAAUUCCUCAAAAAAAUAAAAACUUCACCAAAUCACUUCAAAUCAAGAACUAAAUCACACAUUCCAUCACUCAAGUCACCAUUAGGCACAAAAUAAGCAUCAUUAGCUAUAAGAGGAUGUUCAAUCAUCACUUACCUAGUAAACAAGAGAAGAGGAGUUGUAGACCACCUUAGCUCUUCCAAAAACUUCACCAAACUCACCACUAACACUAAAUGGAAAGAUUGUAUGGAGUGGAAACUAGUUUGUGUGAUUGAUUUUGAUGAUUUGAGCUAGUGGAAAGCUUGAAGAGUGAAGAAGUUUUCUUCCUUCUUGGCAAGAGAGAGGGCCGGCUAUGGAGGAGGUAAGAAAUGGUAAUUUUUGUGCAAUUUUUAAGAUAUUUAACCAUUUUGGUCAAAAGUCAAAAACAUGAAUAGUAAAUCAUAAAGUAUAACCAAUAAGAGAGUGACACUUGUCACCUCUUAAAUGCAUUCUUAUCUUUCUUUUUCCUCUCACAUCAAUCAAAUUUCACUCUCUACUUAUCUCUUAACACCCGAUAAAUUUCACACAGUAUCCGAAACUUAACCUUAUUGGCCAAAUUUUUCCGAACUUUUCGCACUAGUGGGUCCCACGUCCGAUAUACGUUCUUAUUUUCUCAAAAUCUAACCGAUACUAGAAAAAUAAUCUAAAAACUAUUUUUGCUCAUAAACUUUAUCUGGGAAAUUUUUCUAAUAAAGAAAAUGAAGAAAAGGCGGGCGAUUAAAUAAAAUAAACCCUAGAAAAUUAGAAAAUUUUCGGGUUCUCAAACUCUUUUUUUUCGGGGCGUCAUAAUCUCCCCUCCUUAAAAGAAUGUCGUCCUCGACAUUCUAUCUUGUACCAAUCAAGUCAAGACAUCCCGCAAAAAUCUCUCAAGAGUCAAAUCAAACCCACAGUCCGGCAUCCUAAACUUCAAGCCUAGGAUACACUACAGAGAUCUGAAGCCUAAGCUCUGAUACCAAUUGUCACGGCCCCACCUCCCCCUAAGGCGAACCAGAGGGUUCGGCGGGCCGCCUGCCCAGCUCUCGCCGGGACUCAGUCGUUCACUACAAUCCUCAAUGGAAUUUCAAGAUAUUUAUAUCAAAUAUACAUCAAAGGUUCCCAAAACUUUACAUAUCAAAAGCGAAGCGUCCACGCUUCCACUGCGCCACUCUG
rnacentral:lncRNA from 1 species